GAGGGUAUAGCUCAGUGGUAGACCUAGUGCUUAGCACGCACAAGGUCCUGGGUUCAAUCCCUACUACCUCCA
rnacentral:tRNA from 1 species